AAACAGAAUAAUAGUUGCGAAAUAGUCCCUCUCCGCACUCUUCCCCAUAGUCCAUGGCUGAUGCUCCCUUCCCCUUCCCAUGCGGGCUUCCGCCGCCGCACCCCGCUCCUACUCGUCUCUCACCAUGAAUUUCAAACUGGGCAGCCACCACGGCGCUACCGCCGCGGACGAGGAGGAGGAGGGAACGAAUCGUGUGCGUUGCGGUGGAUGGGAGGAUCACUAUCAGGGAUAUGGGGACUAGAUCGGAGUGUGGCUUCGCGGCCAGACCCAUCUAGAGCCUCUCUCCCCUCCGGUGGCUUCCCCUCGCUUGCUCGUGCGACCGGCGCGGUAGGCGGAGGCGUUCCUCUUCUGCGGCGGCGGCGGCGGCAGAGUAAUACGAUGUUAUUGCAGCGCAAUGUUUCGAGUUCCAAAAUCGCAACUUUCUCUUCAAUUUUCUCCAUCUCAAUGCUCAGCCAUGAUUUAUCUGAUUCAAUCACUUUCUCCUUGAGCAAAUAGAUCUGCUGUUCACUACCACACAGCGACACAGAUGUAAUUGUUGAAUUCGAUAUCAUGGCAUCGUACUAAGAUUCUGUUCCUUCGUUGACACUAAAAUAAUACAGACUGAUCAUUCGAUUCAUGAACUGGGAUCAAAUGACCAGCUACUCACACUUCUUACUUGAUACAUAAAAAAUGAAUCCUAAGCUGUGCACAUGGUCUGGAAAGUUUUCUAAAGAGAUGAUACAAUUGGCCCAUUAAGUUCCCUUUUCUGAUUUGACCAAAAUUAUAAUUGGACAAAAAACUGUUGCAGAAGAUGACUCAAAUACCAAAUCGACAAAUUUUAGUAGUCAAUUUCUCGAUAACUUUCAGAUCAUGUUACAGGUCAACCUUUCACAGUAUGCACAUUGAUAGCAGUAGAAUGAUUUACAACUAAGCAUAAUUUAUUUCAUAGAAUUUUGAACUUAACUGAACUUAACAUCAGAAAACCAAUGCCUUGCUUGGUGCUGCUCAUCUCUUAUUCUCCUCAGCACAUCUCAGAAGAUGGCCCUCCCUGCCUUGAGGCUUGAAGGUGUCGCCCCAUCUUAGCAGUAAGGGUAGACGGCGAUGCAGCGCCUGCGUCGGGGAGGUGUGCACAUCAUCAGCAGCAGCAAGGCGAGAACGAUGGUGACAAGCAGCCCCAGCAGGUUGAACGCCGGCUCAUCAUCUUCUUGGCUGCAACACAGCUUGCCCAUGUUAGCUGUUAGAGAGGGAGGAGGAGAUGAGUCUUGGUAGAAUGAGGAUGGAGGGGUGGGACUUGGCUAAAGGCUUCUUUCUUGGCUUGUGGAAUUUCUUUAAGGCAACGACUGGGGAUACAGGACACAGAUCUAUCUAUAGCAAUUAAAUUGCGGGUCGUCAACAUCAACUUGAAUUCUGCGACCACCUCGUCAUUGGCUUUCGCAACCAUGGCAGAGCCAUUAUCAGAUGGCGGAGGCGCACGGGAUGACUGGGUGGCGUCGGCGACGACGCUGGAUUUCCUCCGGAAGCGAUUGCACCUGCUGCUGCCGGAAUUGCCUUUGACCACAGCUUCUUUGGAGCCACCGCAACCCAUGGUGGCUCAAAGGAGAUGGAGAGGAGAGAACGUCGGAGAUGCAAAUGCAAUGAGAGGAAGAAGAAUUAAUAUGGGGUCUAGGAUUUGAGGCAAGGAGAAGUCUCGGGAGAUUAGGGUGUUAUAUGUCACGUGCAUGUAUGAAUGGACAAGCUCGUGGAGAAAUGCAUGCAUGCAUGCAUGAUUUGACAAAUUUAGGGAAACCAUAAACAAGCAAUAGUUCUUUUUUCUUCAUAAAAGAUGGAAGUUUCUGUUUUUUUUGUUGAAGAGGUUGUCACAAGUGUACUAUUUGUCUAAUUCAAGGUAUUUGUCUAAUUCAAGGUCA